AACGAACGCUGGCGGCAUGCCUAACACAUGCAAGUCGAACGAGACCUUCGGGUCUAGUGGCGCACGGGUGCGUAACGCGUGGGAACCUGCCCUUAGGUUCGGAAUAACUCCCCGAAAGGGGUGCUAAUACCGGAUAAUGUCUUCGGACCAAAGAUUUAUCGCCUUUGGAUGGGCCCGCGUUGGAUUAGCUAGUUGGUAGGGUAAAAGCCUACCAAGGCGACGAUACAUAGCUGGUCUGAGAGGAUGAUCAGCCACACUGGGACUGAGACACGGCCCAGACUCCUACGGGAAGCAGCAGUGGGGAAUAUUGGACAAUGGGCGAAAGCCUGAUCCAGCAAUGCCGCGUGAGUGAUGAAGGCCUUAGGGUUGUAAAGCUCUUUUACCCGGGAUGAUAAUGACAGUACCGGGAGAAUAAGCUCCGGCUAACUCCGUG
rnacentral:rRNA from 1 species